rnacentral:lncRNA from 1 species
CCACAACGUAUAUUACUUUUUAUUAUUAUUUUUUUACCUGAGCUAAAAGAAGAAGAAAAAUUACUAAUUUUUAAAUGGGCCGUUGUGGGCCCAUUAUAGUUAACAAACUCUCCUAUGUCGGUUCAAGGCCCGUACAAAUUGAUUGGUGGUCCAACACCAAUUCUACCACACGCUGCCAAAACCCUAAAGUCCAGAACCUAAACCCUCUCUCUCUCUCGCUCUCUCAGUAACACAGACACAGAAGAAAGAAAGGGAGAAAUCCGAAUGGCGGCACAAGGCAGACAGCGACAGUCACUGCGAAACGGCAGCGAGGAGCAGAGCCUGCUUUCCAGGGUAUCGCAAUCGGGGUUGGUGCAGCAGACGAAGCGAGCGGCGAACGACGCGUCGUUGGUGACGAAGAAGCUGAUGAAGAGCACGGGCAAGGCGGCAUGGAUCUUGGGAACGACAUUCCUAAUCCUGGGGGUCCCACUGAUCAUCGCCAUGGAUCGCGAGCAGCAGUUCAACGAACUCGAGUUGCAGCAGGCCAACAUCCUCGGUUCCCCUUCCUCUCUCAAGUAAAAAAAAAAACCAAACAACAAGGAGCCCUCUUCGUCUUCUCCAUUCGUCGCCUUGCCCUUUCCCUUCCUUCAAUUUUCGUUUCUUUUUUGUUUUAGUGAUGUUAAUUUUUGUAGCUGCAUAUGCAAUAAUGGCUAAAAUAUUAUAUAUUUGGGGUAUUGUUUAUUGAAGUUUAUUCAAUUAUGGCAAAAUUGCUUUCUGGGUUUUCUCUCUCAAGGAGGAAUGGGCAAAGAAUCAUUCCUCAGGUAUUUGUGCAAUUUUACCGCUCCUUCAACUUAAGAACCCUUUGUGAAUGUAUUUGUGCUAUGUUUUGUAGUGCUUUCAAAACAAAACAAAGCACUUCAUGUUCUGUUGCAAAAAAAGAAAAAGAAAAGGAAGAUCAAUCUAUAUCUGUAUAAUCUACUAAAGUACAAGCACUGAUCUAGAGGCUAGUACAAAAAAUGCACAGAUUAUCUCAGAGCUUGGUUUACAACAAAGCACAUGCUGUUUCAUCAAAAAGGAAGAUGAAUCCAGCAUCAGUGUAUUUCACUCAACAUAUAUACUAUUUGACCUGGCAAAAAAGCUAACUCUCACCAAAUAUAUACACAGGUUUGGUGGAGAUAAAAGUAUCAUGAUGAAUUGGUUAAAAUUCUAAAUCUCAUUAAGCAUAAUCCUUUAGCUCAUAAUUUCUAAAUCUCAUUAGAAAUUCUGCGUGGAAAAAAACAUGGAAUUCGGAGAUCAUAAAUCCCAAGUUUAAAUUCUAUCUAAAAGUCGUCAUUUCUAAAAUUCCAAGAGAGAUUGAGUUUAAAAAAAAGAUAACUUUACAAAUAAAGGUUAAAUUCCUUGUUUUAAAUCAGUUAUCCAAACAAGAAACUUUACAAAUUCUAGAACAUUAAUUUUCGUCAUUUUAAAUUCUGUCAUUUAUGAAAUCCUUUGUACUUUUAAAUUUCCUCAUCCAAACGCACUGUUAGAGAAAGUUUACUGAACUCGAAAUUUAGGGCUUUUGGUUCUGUUUCAUGCCAUAUUGUAGCAUUUCAAACUUUACAAAUAAGGUAUAUGUGAGUUAGGCCAGCUGUGCCCAAUUUAUAUAUAUAUAUAUAUAUAUAUAUAAGAUAAGUGAUAGUCUAAACUACAAGGGAUAGAGAAGUUUCUUACACGAACAUUACCAUGGUGCAAUGAGGAUUCGAACAUGAGACUACUAGUCUACAAGUUAAGACCAUUUUCAACUGGCUUAAACUUCAUUGUGUGCCCGCUUCUUUGCCGACAUUCAAUUCUCCUUCUCUCGUAAAUUAGAAUUGCUAGGUUAUGGCUUGUGUUUUAAAAAAAGACUACACACAAUAUGAAUAAUAAAAACAAAACAAAACAAGUUGGGCCUUAUGCAAACAAGUUGUAUUAGCAUAUCCGGAAUAUGGCUACCCUACUUCCAUAGGCCAAACACUAAAACCCUGACUCGUCAAAAAAAGGGUUUUACUUCCUGGGGAUGAUGUGGCGUUGAGCUAGAUUGAGCGCUGGUGUCAACAUCCGGAAGCUCUCUAUCGCAGUACGACGUCGUAUCGAGGACGAGGGCGACUGGUCCUACUCCUCGGAAUAGUGGGGCACAGAAUCUGAAGGCCACACCGUCCUUCGAUCCACAUCCGACAAAGGCUACAGUGUCGUUUCAGUCCUCGCCUACCCUUCGUCAAAACCCAGUGAAGUACACUGGGCAUCAACGGAGAGAUGGCUAUAGAAAAGGUACGAAGAGAUACAUGGAUGCCAUGAACAGAACGACAGAUUCAGAAUGCUCGGAUAUCAAUGGCGCGCUCUUUCCUUCAACGAUGACACUUGCCAAAGCACCGUCAAGGUUUUGGCUGCGUAUCGGCAAUCGUAACCUGGCGUUUUUGCUGUUAUACAGCAGUCGCAUUGAUUGGCUUUCCAUGUAGCCUAUGAUGAGUUGGUUUGGGUUUCUGUCUCAAUUUAAUACCCAAUCAAAGAUAAUCAAGUUGGUAACGUGAGCACAACACCUCAUAUAUAACAUUUCCAUAUCACACAAAAGUGUAUUCCAAUCACUUAAUUGGCUCUUAAUAUACCUAACUUCACCAUCAUUAACACUUGCAUUAUCAACUGUGAUACUAAACACCUUUUCUAUUCCCCAAUCCGCCAAACACUUCUCUUUUAGUCUCUCAAUGGCUUCACCCUUAUGGUCUGAAAUUUGACAAAAGUUUAGGAUUUUUUUUAUGCAAAUUCCAAUUAUCAUCAAUGAAAUGGGCAAUGAGAGCCAUAUAAUUCACAUUUUGAAUGGAAGUCCAAGUGUUGGUAGUAAGAGACACUCUUUGUGAAUUUACACUUAAGAUAUUCUUUAGUUUGACAUUUUUCUCUUCAAAGAUUGACCACAUAUCUCUAGAAAUGGUCAUACGAGACGGUGCAUCGAAUUUAGGUUGUGCCUAUCUCAUAAAGUACUUAAACCUUAACCCUUCAACAAAUUUAAAAGGCAACUCAUCAAUUAUUAUCAUCUAUGCACAAGCAAUUCUAGUUCUCUCCUUACUAAAUGCAUGUGCAACUAGGCUUCUUUUGUUCUCAAAUGAAAGAACUUUUUGUUUGUUAUCAUCUUUCAAUGGUGAAUCCUCUUGUAUUAGACCUUCAAAUGUUGCAUUAAAGUAGAUGUGCCAUUUCUAAUAGGAUCACAUGCAUAAGAUGAAUUACAAUAGUUGCAAGAAGCCCUAGGCCCUAUAUCAUUGUUCAUUUGAACUAGUUCCUUAGUAAAAUGCUUCCAUACCUCAUAUGGUUUCCUAACAGGUUGUCUCUUAGGAGCAAAUGGGAGGAGGAGGACAUUAGGUGAUUCCUCUUCUAAUGUUUGUGCAUCAUCAGGAUGAGGAGUCUCACUUGGUGUGAGAGGUGAGUUAAUGGUAGGAGUCUGUGAACUACCUUCCAGACGAGCCGACAUUUUUAGGGCUAUAACAAAAACUAGCUUUAAUAUACCUCUCACCAUCUAAUGCAUAACUAAACACAGAACACAACUAGUAGUAGCAAUGAUUCAACAACUAAACACAAUACUAGCAAGGAUUCAACAACUAAACACAACAACAGCAGUAACAAGCAACUCAAUCAACAAGUGUGCUUCACACUAACCUUUAAUCAAGUACAUCAAAGAAAUUGAUCUUUCCCAAAAUGUGCAGCACACUACCUUACUAUUGAAACCAAAUUCAGAAAACAUUUAGAUAACAUGCUUAUAUAUAAUUGAAUUGAACCUAAAAACCAGAAAAACCAAAAUCACAUAAUUGAUGCAAAAAUCAAUUAACCAAAACCAAGUAACAUUCUUAGAUAACAAUCUAACAUAGAAAUGAUGCUAAAAUUAGAAAAUAGAUCUGAGAGUUUGAAAAAAUUACCUUAGAUCAGUCAUCAGUGCAUAUAUCUUCCUUUUCGAUGAGAGAUGAAAGAUGAGAGUUGAGAAAUAAUAGCUGAGAUAUGGUUUCAUUCGAUGAGAUGAGACGGUGAGAGUGAGGGAUGCUGAGAGAGAACUGAGAGAUGAGAGAUGAGAGAUGGUGACGGCGAUGGUAGAGGCGUUGAUGAGGGAAAAUGAGCAGGCAGGGAAGAGACGAUGAGGGAAGAUGAGGAGCAAAU